AAUAAGCACAGCCAUAAGUUUCCGUACCAAUUUUGAUCGUCCGUCUUAUUUAAAAAAAUUUUAUGAUUAGUAUUUUUAUUGUUAUUAAAUUAUAAAACAUAGGUAGUACUUUAUGCAUGACUUAUGUUUUUUAGUAUUUUAUUAAAAAUUAAAUAAGACGAAUGAUUGAAGUUGGGCACCGAAACUCAUGACUGCGCUUAUU
rfam:Oryza barthii chromosome 1, whole genome shotgun sequence.